AAGUCCCGCAACGAGCGCAACCCUCGUCCUUAGUUGCCAUCAUUCAAGUUGGGCACUCUAAGGAAACUCCCGGUGAUAACCCGGAGGAAGGUGGGGAUGACGUCAAGUCCUCAUGGCCCUUACACGCUGGGCUACACACGUGCUACAAUGGCGGUGACAGUGGGCAGCAACCGGGCGACCGGUAGCUAAUCUCCAAAAACCGUCUCAGUUCGGAUUGUUCUCUGCAACUCGAGAGCAUGAAGGCGGAAUCGCUAGUAAUCGCGGAUCAGCAUGCCGCGGUGAAUACGUUCCCAGGCCUUGUACACACCGCCCGUCACACCAUGGGAGU
rnacentral:rRNA from 1 species